rnacentral:misc_RNA from 1 species
AACACUGUUAACCUGCGGUACCUGCGGAGGGAUCACUAUAGUAUAUGGAAUCUCCAUUCUAUAAACCCACUCUGCGUAUCUUGUAACUGUUGCUUCCAUGGGACUUGGUUCCGCCACACCGGCUUCACGGCUGGUGAGCGCCCAUGGAAGGAGAAACAAAACUCUUCUUUGAAAUGUAGUCAGUCUGAACAAGUUUUUAUAAACGUUAAAACUUUCAACAACGGAUCUCAGAUCGGAAGA